rnacentral:rRNA from 1 species
AGUGAACGCUGGCGGUAGGCCUAACACAUGCCAGUCGAACGGCAGCACAGUAAGAGCUUGCUCUUACGGGUGGCGAGUGGCGGACGGGUGAGGAAUACAUCGGAAUCUACUUUUUCGUGGGGGAUAACGUAGGGAAACUUACGCUAAUACCGCAUACGACCUACGGGUGGAAGCAGGGGAUCUUCGGACCUUGCGCGAUUGAAUGAGCCGAUGUCGGAUUAGCUAGUUGGCGGGGUAAAGGCCCACCAAGGCGACGAUCCGUAGCUGGUCUGAGAGGAUGAUCAGCCACACUGGAACUGAGACACGGUCCAGACUCCUACGGGAGGCAGCAGUGGAGAAUAUUGGACAAUGGGCGCAAGCCUGAUCCAGCCAUACCGCGUGGGUGAAGAAGGCCUUCGGGUUGUAAAGCCCUUUUGUUGGGAAAGAAAAGCAGCAGGUUAAUACCCCGCUGUUCUGACGGUACCCAAAGAAUAAGCACCGGCUAACUUCGUG